rnacentral:rRNA from 1 species
UACAGAGAGUGCAAGCGUUAUUCGGAUUCACUGGGCGUAAAGGGUGCGCAGGCGGCCAAGUGUGUCAGGCGUGAAAUCCCGAGGCUUAACCUCGGAACUGCGCCUGAAACUACUUGGCUAGAGUACUGGAGAGGGUAACGGAAUUCACGGUGUAGCAGUGAAAUGCGUAGGUAUCGUGAGGAACACCAGAGGCGAAGGCGGUUACCUGGACAGUUACUGACGCUCAGGCGCGAAAGCGUGGGGAGCAAAAAGG